UCUUGUUUUCAGUGGGAUGCUGCUACUGCUCGUGGAGGCUGAGGAUCUGAUGUGCCUUGAGAUGCCCUCCAACAGGAGCCACUCCAUCAUUUCUCCAGGGAUGGAGGUGAAGCUGCCAUGUUGUGCUCAGGCUCAUCACAUCUAGGCACAAGCCCUAACAAUGAGGGCAGAUCACCAGAUUAAAAAGGCUGCUUGGUACAAAUGGCUGCCCAUGGAUGAACUAUUCCAAAGGCCAUGCUGAGCUGGACCAAAGAGUUCUUGUGUUUUAUCUCCACCCCAAGGGCAAGGGGGAGGGGAAAACCCCAAGCCUGGGUGCCUGGAUGGCAGUGUGGUCACGGGCUGGCAAGCACGGCCCAUCAGAGACCUGCCAUGUCUGCCUUGACUGGCAUUAGCAUUUGGAGCCCAUUCGGAGCCACAUGGCUGGGGUGUAAACUAAGCAGGCUCGGAGGCUGCCUUAGCAGAGGUGUUUCGCUUCGUAAUUAAGGUAACUGCUCCCUGCAGAUCAAUCGCAGCAGACCUAAGUAGUGCCUGUGAAGGAAGUGGUGGAGAGGAUACACAUUUUAAUGACUCCAAUGCAUAAAUUGGCUGUGUUUGUUUAUUGCUCUCUAAUUUAAUGGAACCUUUUUUGUUACAUCUUCCUGGCUGUUGCUGCUUCCUCCCCCCUUCUUCUUUAACACACUGCAAGUAAUGAUUUCUGUGGGAACAAAGGGUGGUGCUUAUUAAAAGA